GUGAGUAGUUCAGAGUUUGAUCCUGGCUCAGGAUGAACGCUGGCGGCGUGCUUAACACAUGCAAGUCGAACGAAGCACUUACUUGGAAGUUUUCGGAUGGAAAAGUAAGUGACUGAGUGGCGGACGGGUGAGUAACGCGUGGGCAACCUGCCCCAUACCGGGGGAUAACAGCUGGAAACGGCUGCUAAUACCGCAUAAGCGCACGGUCUCGCAUGAGACAGUGUGAAAAACUCCGGUGGUAUAUGAUGGACCCGCGUCUGAUUAGCUAGUUGGUAAGGUAACGGCUUACCAAGGCGACGAUCAGUAGCCGGCCUGAGAGGGUGAACGGCCACAUUGGGACUGAGACACGGCCCAA
rnacentral:rRNA from 1 species